AGCAGCCGCGGUAAUUCCAGCUCCAAUAGCGUAUAUUAAAGUUGUUGCAGUUAAAAAGCUCGUAGUUGAAUUUCGGGAUCAAUAUGUCGGUCGUGCCUUCGGUACGUACUGGUAUCAUUGGUCUCUCCUUUCUGACGAACCAUGAUGUCAUUAAUUUGGUGUUAUGGGGAGUUAGGACUGUUACUUUGAAAAAAUUAGAGUGUUUAAAGCAGGCUUUAGCUUGAAUACAUUAGCAUGGAAUAAUGAAAUAGGACGUUCGAACCUAUUUUGUUGGUUCCUAGGAUCAACGUAAUGAUUAAUAGGGAUAGUUGGGGGCAUUAGUAUUCAAUUGUCAGAGGUGAAAUUCUUGGAUUUAUUGAAGACUAACUACUGCGAAAGCAUUUGCCAAGGAUGUUUUCAUUAAUCAAGAACGAAAGUUAGGGGAUCGAAGACGAUCAGAUACCGUCGUAGUCUUAACCAUAAACUAUGCCGACUAGGGAUCGGAUGAUGUUAAUUUUUUAAUGACUCAUUCGGCGCCUUA
rnacentral:rRNA from 1 species